UGAAUUUCAGGCGCUUCGACCAGACACUUAGGAAGGUCUCGCUUGAAGCUGAGGAAAAAUCUCAUCUUGCUUUAUCUUGAAAGCUGAACUCCUGAGCUCCUUCGGCAUCAACAUUUCAGUGCUGUCCUCCCAAAGGUGAAAUCCAGCCUGUGCUGCUGGAAAGCUACAGAAGCUGUAUUUCUCAAAAGCCCAGUUUUGUAUCCUCUGUUAAGGUUCUACCAACGUUCGUUGUAUUUUAUUUUUGAACAAUUGAGUGAUACAACUCAGCUCUAUUUAAUUUUAACCGUUUCUUUCAGGUUUUCACGACCGUUCCUUUUACCCUGUUGCUGCAGCCAACGCAGAUCCAAAUGCCGUGGCUACGAAGGCUUGUUACUUUCUCAUGCUGGAUCCCUCAAAUCCAAGAGCUACUUGGCAGUUUCCAAGGCAACCACCUGUGGAAUAAUUAAAAGGAUGAAGUGCUAGUGUGCCAGAUAUAAGGAUUUCUUGCCUGGAGAGAGCGCUUCAUUUUCAUCUGUCUCGAAGAACCAAAUGUGUUUCUGCCAGCAAAGUUAAGAAGAAGAGAUGGUGACUGAGCUGUACAAGCAAACCGGGACAAUCCAAAAAGUGACUCAAAGCAGGAGCCAGCAGAUGGUCGCGUCGUUAGCCGGUGGCCACAGCCUCGCCAGAGGAGUUUUGGAAUUCCCAUCAAAGUCGGGAUUAAGCUCAGGAUAUGCCAGUGGCACAGAGGGGAGCGUGGAAGAAGAGGAAAUCAUUCCCUGCGACUCAUCUUGCGGUUGGGUGAGUCAGGGGGUCUGCUGUUGGUGGUCAGAAAGGCACGUGGCUGACUCCACCGGCUUUGUGUGCUCUGCAGGAUGCAAACUGUCGCUGGAAAUUAAUUCUGCCCUCCUGAUUUUUGGCCAGUGAGUUAUUUCCAGAAAGGAGUUACUGUAUUUUCUGGAAUGAGUAUUGUGAAAUACUUUUUUUUUUUUUUUUUUUUUUUUUUUUUUUAAUAUUUUUUUUUUUUUUUUUUUUUUUUUUUCUUUACAGUGGGCAAGUUUUCAGCUGGUGAUUUAUCAACAAAGUAUUUUACAGGAUCAUAGUUAAAAGCUCCUCUGAAAAAAAAAAAAUUAAAAAAAAAAUAUAUAUUUAUACACACAUCCUGUGCGAUAGGGAAAGUAAAAGCAUCUCAGUUUUCCCCAUGAUGAAGGAAUAACCGAAAGAGGCAGUUCUUGGAAUAGUAGCUCCAUUGGCACUCGGUGGUGAUUUCCUGUGCAUUCGCUGCGAGAGUCGCGCUGUGAUGUGAGUAGGUGGUACUAAAGGGUUAUUACGAAACCAAUUUUCAACCAGACGUUUUGAGUCAUGGCUCGGGAAGAGGGAUAGCAGCUUCAGAGCUUUCUCUUUGUUCGAGCAGCGCUCCUGAAAAUGCACACGCGGGAUAAUUCUCUGCUCGCCCCGGAAUAAAGCAGACUGGGAAAUAGGUUUGGAAUUCCCU
rnacentral:lncRNA from 1 species